UAGAAAAGAGACAGGAAGAGAGAGCUCGGCUGAGAGGGAGAUAUCGGGAGGAAGGAGAGAAAAAAAAGGGGAAAAGAAGGAAGCCUUGUGGAAUACCAAGAUUCAAGCUUAAAAUUGUGGAAAAUUCAUAUUCAAGUCACGCACCAUUGUCUACCUGAUUUAUCUGAUAUGUUCAGUCCAUCUGAUUUGCUUCUGCGGCUAUCUGAGCGUGACCAGGCUUAGAGGCAUUUGUCGAGAAUCUGUUUUUGUCAGC